CCGGCGCACGGGUGCGUAACGCGUAUGCAACCUACCAUCAACAGGGGGAUAACACUGAGAAAUUGGUACUAAUACCCCAUAAUAUCUCAUGCGGCAUCGCAUGGGGUUGAAAACUCCGGUGGUUGAUGAUGGGCAUGCGUUGUAUUAGCUGGUUGGUGGGGCAACGGCCCACCAAGCCGACGAUGCGUAGGGGUUCUGAGAGGAAGGUCCCCCACAUUGGAACUGAGACACGGUCCAAACUCCUACGGAAGGCAGCAG
rnacentral:rRNA from 1 species